AUGCAAACACUACACAGCAAAAUGCCAUCUUGCUCAACACCAUUGUUGUACCUCUGCCUACUGCUGGUGCCGUGCCUUCUUCUCUUGGAAGAAGCACAUGGGACACGUCAUGGAGGGAUCUCACCGAGGUCUCAACACAUGGCCCUCCUCCACUGGAAGGCUACACUUACAAGUCCACUGAUGCAGAUGAUCUCUUGGCAUAAAAACACUAGCCCCUGCAACUGGACGGGCAUCAUGUGCACGGCUGUUCGCCAUGGCCGCCGCAUGCCCUGGGUGGUGACCAACAUCUCCCUGCCGGAUGCAGGCAUCCGUGGCCAGCUCGGUGAGCUCAACUUCUCAGCUCUUCCAUUCCUCACAUCUAUUGAUCUUCAUAACAACAGUCUCCAUGGUGCACUGCCCGCUAGUAUCUGCUCCCUGUCAGCACUUUCGAUACUUGACCUUACCUACAACCAGCUCACAGGAAAAAUUCCCUAUGAGAUUGGUAACCUGCAAAGUCUCGGCUAUCUUGGUCUCUCAUUUAAUAGACUCACAGGACAUAUCCCUGUGUCUCUGGGCAACCUAACAAUGUUAAAUGUACUUGUCAUUCACCAAACCAUGGUAUCAGGUAGCAUUCCUGAGGAGAUUGGAAGGCUUGUCAACCUACAAAUUCUACAGCUAAGCAACAACACCUUAAGCGGUUUUAUACCAAAAACCUUUGGAAAUCUGACCCAACUAAAUGUUUUGCUCCUGUUUGGUAAUCAAUUUUCAGGGCCUAUACCCCAAGAACUAGGCAAGCUAGUACAUUUGCAAGGUCUUUAUCUUAAUGCAAAUGGUUUUUCAGGUCCAAUUCCAAUCUCCAUAACCAAUCUCACUAAGAUGAACACACUUUUUCUCUUUGAAAAUCAAAUCACAGGUUCAAUACCCCCAGAACUAGGCGACCUCAACAUGCUAAACAAACUUCAUCUCGAUAGAAAUCAAAUAACAGGUUCAAUACCACCAGAACUAGGGAACCUCACUAUGCUCGAUGAACUUUUUCUCCAUACAAAUCAAAUCACAGGCCCAAUACCUUCAGAAUUGGGCAUCUUGCUGAAUCUCCAGAGUUUAGACUUGUCCAGCAAUCAAAUUUAUGGCUCUAUUCCUGGCGGCUUAGGAAAUAUAAUCAAGCUAGUAUUCCUCUCCCUCUCUGAAAAUCGGAUAACUGGUUCUAUCCCCCAGGAAAUUGGAAAUCUGAUAAACCUCCAGCAUUUAAUCUUGUAUCAAAAUAAAAUUUCGGGGUCAAUACCAAAAACUUUUGGGAAGCUACAAAGCAUCCAAGGCAUGCUAAUCUUUGAUAACAAAUUAUCAGGUUCUCUUCCUCAAGAAUUUGGAGAUCUCAUUAGCCUUGUUGAACUUGGGUUAUCCAACAACUUACUUUCAGGACAUUUACCCACAAAUAUAUGUUCGGGUGGCAGACUUCGGUAUCUUUAUGUCUCUUCUAAUGAAUUCAGUGGCCCCAUUCCAAGGAGUUUAAAGACAUGUACGAGUUUGGUUCGAAUAUACCUUGGCAGGAACCAACUCACAGGAGAUAUAUCUCAGGAUUUUGGUGUGUAUCCACAACUAACAGAGAUGAUCUUGUCAUCGAAUAGACUCUCGGGGCAGAUCUCACAAAAUUUAGGUGCAUGUAACCAGCUAAUGGUACUGCGUCUCCAACAAAAUUUGAUCACAGGUUCCAUACCUCCUAUCAUUUCUAAAUUGUCCAACCUAGUAGAACUAUCACUAGAUUCUAAUCAUCUCAGCGGUGAGAUUCCACAAGAAAUCUGCACUUCAGCAAACAUAUAUAGACUGAACUUAUCAUCGAACCAGUUAUCUGGAUCCAUACCCACACAGAUAGAAAAGCUAAGCAAUCUUGGAUACCUUGAUAUAUCUGGGAACAGACUGAGUGGGUUAAUACCUGAGGAACUAGGGGCUUGCAUGAAACUACAGUCCUUGAAGAUCAAUAACAACAACUUCAGUGGGAGCUUGCCUGGCGCAAUUGGAAAUUUAGCAGGCCUGCAGAUCAUCUUAGAUGUGAGCAACAAUAACCUCAGUGGUGUAUUACCGCAGCAAUUGGGGAAGUUGCAGAUGCUAGAAUUUCUGAAUUUAUCACAUAAUCAGUUCAGUGGUAGCAUUCCAUCCUCCUUUACAAGCAUGGUGAGCCUUUCAACACUCGAUGUGUCCUACAACGACUUGGAAGGACUGGUCCCAACAGCACGGCUACUCCAAAAUGCUUCAUCAAGUUGGUUUCUUCCUAAUAAAGGUCUGUGUGGUAACCUCUCUGGCCUGCCGCCUUGUUAUUCAACCCCAAUAGCUGCUCAAAAAAAGGGGAAGAUGCUCGGUUUGCUUUUGCCAAUUGUUCUUGUGAUGGGUUUCAUCAUUUUUGCUGCAAUUGUUGUCAUAAUAAUACUUACUCGUAAGAAGAGAAAACCACAAGAAAGUGUUACCGCUGAAGCAAGGGACCUAUUCUCUGUUUGGAAUUUCGAUGGAAGAUUAGCAUUUGACGAUAUUGUAAGGGCAACAGAAGACUUUGAUGAUAAGUACAUCAUUGGAACAGGAGGAUACGGCAAAGUCUACAAAGCACAACUCCAAGACGGGCAGAUGGUUGCUGUGAAGAAGCUUCAUCAGACAGAAGAAGAGUUGGAUGAUGGAAGAAGAUUCUGUAGUGAAAUGGAAAUCUUAACACAGAUCCGACAACGAAGCAUUGUCAAAAUGUAUGGAUUCUUCUCCCAUCCAGCAUAUAAAUUUCUCAUCUACGAUUACAUUCAGCAAGGAAGCCUCCAUGGGACAUUGGAAAAUGAGGAGCUAGCAAAGGAAUUAGAUUGGCAGAAGAGAAUUGUUAUUGCAAGUGAUGUGGCACAAGCAAUAUCUUAUUUGCACCAUGAAUGUAGUCCACCUAUAAUCCAUCGAGAUAUCACGAGCAACAACAUCUUACUUGAUACAACCUUCAAGGCUUUUGUCUCGGAUUUCGGCACAGCAAGGAUUCUUAAGCCCGAUUCAUCAAACUGGAGUGCACUUGCUGGAACAUAUGGCUACAUAGCUCCUGAACUCUCGUACACAUCUAUUGUGACAGAGAAAUGUGAUGUCUAUAGCUUUGGUGUGGUUUUAUUAGAGCUAGUGAUGGGGAAGCAUCCAAGGGAUCUAUUAGACGGUAGUUUGUCAAGCGGGGAACAAGCUAUGCUGGUGAAAGAUAUUCUAGACCAACGACCGAGAACACCACCAACAACAGAAGAGAAUCACUUAGCCCUGCUCAUUAAGCUGGCGUUUUCUUGCUUGGAAUCUUCUCCACAAGCAAGGCCAACGAUGCAGGAGGCAUACCAAACACUCAUCCAACAACCUUCUCCUAGUUCAUGCCCCGUGCCUUUUAGCGCACUUACAUUACAGCAAGCAAGGGACGGAUGUUGA
rnacentral:rRNA from 1 species